UACGUAGGGUGCAGGCGUUAAUCGGAAUUACUGGGCGUAAAGCGUGCGCAGGCGGUUUGCUAAGAGAGAUGUGAAAUCCCCAGGCUUAACCUGGGAACUGCAUUCGAGACUGCAUAGCUAGAGUAUGGGAGAGGGAAGUGGAAUUUCAGGUGUAGCGGUGAAAUGCGUAGAUAUCAGGAGGAACACCAAUUGCGAAGGCAGCUCGCUGGGACGUUACUGACGCUGAGACGCGAAAGCGUGGGGAGCAAACAGG
rnacentral:rRNA from 1 species